CCUACGGGGGGCUGCAGUGAGGAAUAUUGGUCAAUGGCCGGAAGUCUGAACCAGCCAAGCCGCGUGAAGGACGACUGUGCCAAGCAUUGUACACUUCUUUUGUCAAGGGAUAAAAUCAGGCUCGAGAGCCUUAUCGCGGGUACUUUAUGAAAAAGGAUCGGCUAACUCCGUGCCAGCAGCCGCGGUAAUACGGAGGAUGCGAGCGUUAUCCGGAUUUAUUGGGCGUAAAGGGUGCGUAGAUGGGCUGUUAAGUCUUUUGUGAAAGUGGUUGGCUCAACCCAAGAAGGGCAAUAGAUACUGGAAGGCUAGAGUAUAACAGAGGCAAGUGGAACUAGAUGUGUAGCGGUGAAAUGCGUAGAUAU
rnacentral:rRNA from 1 species